GGUAUUAAUGAUUCUUUUAUCUUCUUAACGAUUAUUAAAAAUAAAUUAAUGCUUUUAAAAUCUUUCGUAUUAAAUUAAAAAUUACCAUUCUGGAUGGAGGUGAAUCAAAAUUUAUCUUUAAAUUAAUUUGCCCCAUUUCUCUGUUGAGAUUUGAGCAAUUGCAACCUGUCAACUUUUGAUAUUAUAUAUUAGUAAUUUAAUUUCACAUUCUAUAUUACUAGUAUCUUUGUGAUCAAUGCGUGCAUUUAUUUGGAUAUAAAUAAAUAGUAACUUUUAUUACACAGGUUUCUGCUAUUAUUAUUAUUGUUACUAUUCUAUUCCAUGUAUUGUUAGGUUUGCGUUUUGGUUUGUUUAUUUUUUAUAAGGGUAUAAGAUUCAUUACGUUCCCUAACUUAGUGUCAUUUUCUUUUUUUCUUUAAUAAAAUCCUUUUGCAUACCAUUGAGGUUUACCUAAAAUAAAAAUAAAUUAAUAAUCACUUUUUAGUGUAAAAGUUCAUAAAUUAUAGAAUUCAAAUGUUAUGCUAUACAGUAGUAUUUAGUUGCCGAAAUAGCAACAUAUAUAGUGGUUGAAUCGGGCCUUGAGUCGAAGAGGACUAUAAUAGAGAAACUAUAAAUUUGAAUAUGCGGUAGCAUAAAUUCUCUAAAAUUGACAAGGACAGCAGUGGAGAAGGCCAUAAUGAAGAAAUCAUAAACUUUAGUUGGUAGGUGUGUGUGUGUGGUUAGUGUACGAGAGAGGGACAGAGUNNN
rnacentral:lncRNA from 1 species